rnacentral:piRNA from 1 species
UAGCACAGAGCUGCUAGGACCUGGUGGGU